rnacentral:sRNA from 17 species
GCACUGGCAAAAUCCAGUGUCAGGAUUGGACCCCUGUUUGUUAACCAAAGGCGCACAGACGCCAGCUUUUGCUGGUUUUUU